rnacentral:rRNA from 1 species
AACGAACGCUGGCGGCAGGCCUAACACAUGCAAGUCGAACGAUGUAGCAAUACAUAGUGGCGCACGGGUGAGUAACGCGUGGGAAUGUACCAUUUGGUGGGGAAUAACUCCGGGAAACUGGAGCUAAUACCGCAUACGCCCUUCGGGGGAAAGAUUUAUCGCCAAAUGAUCAGCCCGCGUGAGAUUAGAUAGUUGGUGGGGUAAUGGCCUACCAAGUCGACGAUCUCUAGCUGGUCUUAGAGGAUGACCAGCCACACUGGAACUGAGACACGGUCCAGACUCCUACGGGAGGCAGCAGUGGGGAAUAUUGGGCAAUGGACGAAAGUCUGACCCAGCCAUGCCGCGUGAGUGAUGAAGGCCCUAGGGUUGUAAAGCUCUUUCGCCGAUGAAGAUAAUGACGGUAGUCGGAGAAGAAGCCCCGGCUAACUUCGUGCCAGCCGCCGCAGUAA